UGAAGGUAAUUAUGAAUGUUAAUUUAUUUUGGGUUUGUACAGUUAUCCCUGUCUGAUUUAUUGGUGCUGAUGUUUAUCAACUCUGACACUUCA